rnacentral:lncRNA from 1 species
UUUCAUCCGCAUGAGGCGCCUCUAGAUGGCUCGCCAAUUUAUGAGCAUUGCUCCCAUGUGUAUAUGAACCCCGAUGUAAAGUUUGAUGUGAUCGACCUUCGAUGAUGGUGAGAAAUUUCAACUUUAUCCCUGAAAACUGGACUGGCAGCUGUUGCCUUUAUUUUUUUUAACUAUGCUGAAGAAUCUUGAAUAACGAUGUAAGUGAUUGUAUAUAGCUAUUGCAUGUAUAGAGUUUUGUUGAAUUGAAAAUCUUCGGUAGCUCCGGGGUACUUAUAAAUUUAUGUAGAAAUUUACAAAAUUAUAAAUAAUUCUUAAAGUUCUUUUAGUAAUAUAUAUCAAAUCGUAACAAAAUAAUUAAUAAUUAUAUAAAUUUUUUGAACAUACACAUUUCUCUGGUUAUAUGAUUAGUGCAAUCUCUAUGCACCACCCAACUUGUUUCACCGGAGAAGUAUGCGUUGUGCCAAGUGGGAGCAUAGUAGUCGUUGUCGGUUAAGUUGGUGAAGAGCCCUUCUGUAGAGGUGGACAACUUAAUAACAAUGGUGGCGACGCCUUUUCCAUCAUCGAAGUAGGAUUCGCCUUGAGACACCCAUUCUCUUCCAAUGUGUAUGUGUCUGGAGCUCUUCUUCUUGCAGGGUUCGGGCUUGCCAUCUUGCUCCUUGUUCUUCUUGGGCCAAUUGGCUACGAAGUGGCUUGUAUUCGCCACACUCAAGCAUACCCUCUUGGAUUGUCGAGUCCUUGUCCUGUUGUCGUGCUUCUUCUUCCCAUAGCCAUCAUACUUUAGAAACUUCUUGAAUGUCUUGAUGACAAGGGCAAAGUCUUCCUUCUUAAGCUUGGCUUUGGCCUUCAAGGUGAUCUCCUUGUUCUUGACGAUGGUGGUAUUCUUGGUAAGAGACUUAAUGUGCUGGGCGUCUUCUUGCAAUAGCUUGGAGUGAGUUGCUUGAAGUUUUCCAUCUCUCGAACGAGAGUGAGCAAGGUGGUCUUUCUUGGUGCAAUGGCUUAGAGUAGCCUGUUGAUAAUGACACGGUCGGACAUGUCUCCACUUUCAAGAUCACGAAUCUUAUUGAUGAUAACCAAAAUGCAAUCGUACAUCUGUUGUGUAGUCUCAUCAUCUUUCAUCACGAACCUUCCAAGUUGCCCUUCUAGUAACUUGAUUCUUGAUUCUCUCACUCUGGCGUAUCCUUCAUGAGCGAGCCGGAGAGUAUCACAAAUCUCCCUGACUUCCUCAAGUUGCUCCACCUGGUUGAAUUUUUUGAGGCUUCACCCACAAUCGCACUUGUAGCUUGAGUGUUGAUGUGGAUGGUUGAUUCUUGUGUCGUAGUAAGCUUGCCAUCACCUUCUAGAAUGUCCACACCGGUGAGAAUAAGCUUCCACACACUAGGAUGCAAAGACAUUCGAUACAAUUUCAUCUUGUGCUUCCAACCGACAUAGCAAGUCCCAUCGAAAUGGGGUUUAUGCCUGGAAGACAGAGAUGAAAGGAGUGUUAUGAUUAGCUUUCUCAUAGUCAUAGGGUAUAAACAUUCCCUUGGGUGGGGCGCUCUUAAUUAGAAGUUGAGGUGUUACCUUCAUCACCCAUUGUGGCCACCAGAUUAUCACCGUUGUGCGACAUCUUUUCUCUUCAAACAGUUAAGCUUUGCGAAAGAAUCCUUGAUUUGAUACCAAUUGAAAGAUCGAGAUAUCGCAUAGAGGAGGGGGCAGGGCAGGGAAUGUGCCAUGUUUAAAAACUCAACAGUAGAAGUCAUGUCGCACCGGAGUCUACGGUACAGUUUCUCUAUCGAGACAAAGCGAUUAUACUGGACACUCUAGAGGAUAGUACCAAAUACUCCGGAGGAUGAAAAACAACUCCUUUCAGAGGGAUUCCAUAGAGGUUCAGAGGCAUAAAACACAAGCACAAAGAAGAGAAAAAUCAUAGGAAUGAUAGUUUUCAUCGGAGUUUGGAUUUCUCAAUUCUAAUCUCCGUUGAGUGAAUCCAACGAGCUGGAUCUCUCUCUAUCCAAAGUCUCACCAAGCUCACAACCACGAAUAUGCUUUGGUUCUCAAGCCACCACCUAGGUGAGCCGUUCUUGGGUGAGCACUAGAGGUCUAACGCUAGCAACACACUCCUCUUCCUCGGUGGUGCUCGCUCUACCGAUCAAACUCCUAGGGGUAAGUCCGGUAUCCACUAUCUUGCCCCUAUUUCUUUGUGGAGGUGAGGAGGGCCUUGUACAAACUUACCAAACAAAUCACAAUCCUUGAGAUGCUCCUAGGCAACGCCUAGCCGGCUAGGACUAGGAGGCAAGCCUCAAAGAGUAACAAGCUUGGAUUGAUGGCCGAAUCCAAUCCCGAAGUGCUCUUCACAAGUUGCUAGGUGCCUUCCAUGGAAAACCCUAGGUUUCUCUCUAGCCUACUCUCCCUCUAGAAGGAUGAACCCUAGGGGGACAAGGAAUGAGUGGUGAUCCCUUAGAGGAUAUAUGGAAGGGAAUGUCUACACACCCCUACGAAAAGGAGGGCUUUUAUAACAACCUAGCUGCCACAAGCGAUUAGGUAAAAAUUUGAUUUUUGGAGACUCCGGUGAAAGCCACUUUGGAAAGCCUUGUUUUACUGGCUUUAACUGUCACCCUAGACAUCGGUACACUUUCUUUGCUAGAAAGAGAAUUCCUAUUGGAGGUUUUGUCCAACAACACCGUAUACUCCGAUGUGAGUUCACGGUCUUGCAUAAGGAGUGUACCAGGAAUUCUGACAACGGUUGCAAGGGUUGCAGGGAUACUUCUAGGACCGAAAUAAAAUCCAAAAUAAGUGUGGUGCAACGUAUUUCGCUCAAGGCCCUUAGGUUCUUGUGAGAGUACUGCGUUAUACUUGCGACCAACAAAGCAAACCGUGCUUAAUAGUAUGCCAAUCCUAAGGACUCAAUAAAAGAAAAUUACAAUUUUGUUCUUCCGUCCUUGCGCAUUUCUUUAUUUGUGUUACAUAGGAUACACUGUUUGUCACAUUCACUAACCAGAGACUAAUUCUCUACAUUUAUGCUCAAUCUAAAGGUUAGUUCCCUAGAUAUUUUGCCAAUUACAUAACCAAAAUCCAAUGAGGGAGCCUUGAUGCACUUUCAGUUUCUUGCAAAAUAACCCCAUGCCACUCCUUUGUACUCACUAGCAUUUGUUGUAUUUAUUGGUAUGAUUUGUUGAGUAUGAUGAUUUGCUAGCUUUGCUUAGCUAGCCUUACUUGUGACUCUGCUACAAUCAAAAGUUUUGGACUGACUGGAGCUUCCAAAGGACAGAAGUUCCAAAGUUACUUCAGAAGUUUCAAAGGUUACUGCUUUUGCUUUUAGUUUCCAGAAGUUUUUAUGGCCUAUUCACAUCCUUUAGGCCCUCAUUAGCUCUUUCAAUAAUCAAUGUGUACAAAUAAUUCUACAGUGGUGCUGUGUAAAAAAGUUACUUCCACUAACUAUAAAUUAGUUUUUUUUCACAUUAUAGUCUAUUUUCUAAUGCUGUCUUUUAAUUAUUAAUAAUAAGUAUUCAGAAAAUAUUAUCCAUAAAUUAUUUUUAGUUGUUUCAUCCAUUAUCCUUGAAUUAUCAAAUAUAGUUCAAUUAAUUAGAGCCGCCACGUUGUUGCUACUCUUUUUGAUGUUUUAAUAUUUGCUGCUAUUGACUUUUAAACAUUUGUUUGACAACUCAUCUUAUUCAUAUUUUUUAAUGCAAAGAUACAAAAGGGUGGUCAUAGGUGCAUCAUGUGCCUGGAGUGUCCGCAUAGCAAACUCCUAGGUUUACUUGCUUUCUUCAUUCCACACAUUUAUAAAUAUUAAACAUAUUAGCAUAUCUAUCAUUAUUUUGGUAUCUUAAAUAAAACUAAGUGUUUCUUUUGUUGGGGUAAAUAUUACUAUAUAAGUAUUAUCAUUAUUUAUAUAUAAUUUUACGGAGAUGAUUAUGAUGACUUCUUCAAUAACAACAUAUGCUAGCUUAUUCUUUCGAAAGUGCUGAUAGAGAUAGGGUGUGUUCAUAAAGGUAAGUGCGUAUGCAUGUAUACUUUCGCAAAAUAAUGCUCCCUUUAUUCCGAAAUAUAAACAUAUUUGGUUGUCUAGCUGUGAAGGAUGCUGACAGCAACGGGGAAGCUUGAACCCUCCUUUAGAGGUUCAGUUAGGAGUAAGUGAGAACAUGCGCGUAAGAGUGCUUCUCAAGUGGGUUCCUUGGGUGCUCCUAAGGAUUUGCUUAGGGAAACUCACAAAGGAAUUAGAUAAACAACGGAAGACAAAACUUUGAAGUUUCCUACCUAUCGGGAGAAAGCACCAAGAAAGUAUAUAGGUUUAGGCCACCCAGAGCUGUAAAACCCUAAUCCUGUUUUUUCUACUAUCAAAUGGAUAUGGUUAGAAGGUAUGUUCCUCUUUCUCGUCCCCUCUACACGGCGCCAACCUCCCCUUUUAUAACCAAAGAAGGGCCUAUGGUGCCAGCUACUUUACUAGGAAAAGAUGGUCUAGUCCUGUCUCUUCCCUGUUAGGACAAAAAUAACAUCUGAAACUACCACCGUUCUACUAGCACACGGUACCCGAACGCGCUGGAGCCAGGACCCAGGAUACGUAGGCUGGAGGAGCAACUAACACCUAUCUAGGCGAACCCUUGUCCCAUCAUGGGGGUCUUGUCCACCGCCUUGGAACUUGGUGAUGAGACAUCAGCAGUCAGCUGUUACAGACGUGUCGCAUUGCCCUUCCUCUAGGAGAUGGAUGUGGCCAUGUAGGCGCUCGCACAUGUCACCACAUCUUAAUUCCAUGCAAGUAGUGCUAGAGGGGGGCCAAGCCCCAAGGGGUCUGGCCUGCUUCAUGCCAAGGGGGCUCCUUCCCCACAAUGACCAUGGUGGCUAGCGCUUACCAGGUCUUCUUGGGGACGUAACCUCCAAGUUCAUAAUGCACAUUGCCUUAGAGGAGAUACCGAUGUUGAGGCACAACUGCUUGCGCACCUUGAAGAUAUAUCUUUUAGGUUUCCAUACCCCUUCUUUCCGAGCAGCAUGAGGCCCCUGGAGAGGCACCGAGGCCUCGGAGCUCAAGCAUGCUUAGCCCAAAGGUUAGGGGCGCGCCUGAAGCAUCUAGGCCUCCUUUGUUGAUUUUGGUAAUUAAUGACAAACACUAAUUGUGGACUAACUAUUCUGUUGAGUUAUGCUUUUGAGUUAGGACCACAUGAUGUGUAUGCAUGGAUGAUUACCGAGGACAAAAUUCGAUGGCGAAAAGCAAAAGGAAAGAAGACAGUAAAACUAGAAGUUUUCAUUUUAAUUGAUCGAGGAGUUGGUCAUCAAAAUUUGCUAGUUCUACUUAUAGCUUUGCUAUAUUAUCAAGAGGGGUAGUGACCUAAACAAAAAAAUGAUUAAAAUACCACAUUAGGUCAUUUGCAUUUAGACUUGAUUUACUUUUCAAUUGAUGUGCUUUUCUAACUAAGGGUGGUCUGACCAAGGACCUCAAGCCGGUCAGACCGCUGGGUCUACUUUGGUCUAACCAAUCGGCCUUGUGCCGGUGGUCGGCCUCUGGGUUUGAAAACCUGAGUUGCUAGAGCCGCAAGUGGUCAGACCGUGCCGAUGGUGGUCUGACCGAGCCCUGCAUUUAAUGCACUGCAAUGACAAGUUUUCUAGCCGUUGCAAUACAGUCUAGUCUGACCGGUAGUGCACUGAGUUAGGGAUUUUGACCCCCAACGGCUAGUUUUUGGGUGGGGGUAUAAAUAUCCCCCACUUACAGCAAGGGGCCUCUCUUGGCAUUCACUUUACUUGCAUUCACUCCUUGCAACUAUCACACUCUCUAGUGAUUGUGUUCAUCCAUUUAGUGUGAUUGAGGGUUGAUUAACCAAGAGUUAAGUGCAUUGCUUCAUUGUAGAGUUAGUGUGGCACUUGAUCAUCUCCAAGCCGGGUCAUCGCUUGUUACUCUUGGAGGUUACCACCUCCUAGAUGGCUUGUGGAGGUGUUGCCCGGUGACCUCUCCAAGGAGGUUGUGGAGAAGGCCCAGCGCCAGUUGUGAGUGAUUUGGAGUUCACCACCUUCGGAGUGAAGGAAAAACUACCGCUAAUGAUCGAGACUUGGGUAGUCUCACCUUGCCCACCUCUUGACGAAAUGGGCUUACGGUGGCUUCGUGGUUUUGAGCGAUGAAGUUGGGUUCGCCUCAACGGUGAUUACAAAACUGGUGAGUUUUCAAACCUUGGAUGAGAAAUUCCUUAUCUCUUGUCUUAUUUAAUGAUUGCAUUCUCAUUUGUGCAAGUUACUUUCAUAGAUUCAUAAUUGAGCCCAUAUCACCUAUAGGAUUACAAAACAUAAUUUAGUUGUUUAGUUAAGUUUAUCCCUCACCAAGCCGCAACUUAGGUUAGUUUUGAUUAGGUGUAUUUUAAUUUUUAAUCGCCUACCCUACUGCGCCAUGCUGCUCUGCAUAUGUAGAUUUGUAGGUAUCCACGCUCUCCUUUUCGGGAGAAUCAUGAAGAAUGGGGUGGUGUCGAGGCCCCAAGAACCUAUUCGGUUCAAGCCCUUGCCUCCUCCAUGCUAACAUCGAACACAAUUACUAUUCUUAACUAUAAUCAUCCUGAUGUAACGUACGUUUCUCAAAUCAACUGUAUGUUCACCAUAAUUUACUAUUUAUGACUCGACGCAUAAUUUAUUUUCAAAAUUUAUUUUAAUUUGCAACAACUAAAAUUAGCUUAACCCGAUGCAAAGCAUUUAAUAUUUAUUUAUACAUAUAUUUUCUACAAUCCAAAUAUCUCCUGUCUCUACUAUUAUAAAAAUUGAUAGUGUUUCAACCGUCUGUUACCUGUAUAUCUUGCCCGCGUGGGCCGGUUGGGCCAUGGUGCCCACACGGGCGAUUCGUUUGCCCGAAUGGUCUACCUUGAGUGGUUGCGGCAUAUAGCAUAGUGGUAGUGUGUUCACUUUAUAAACGAAAAUUUGCGAGUUCAGUACUAGUCGGGGGCAUGUUUUAUGUUUUUUCUUUUCUUUUUGACUAGUCAUUGUCUUACCUUAGUAAAGUAAAGAGAAGCUUUGUACUCCAAUGGUUAAAACAUUGGUCAUUGACAUUGACAUAUAUGUGCUAGGUUCGAUUCGAAUCCUAUCAAAAUCAUAUUUAAUUUCUUUUUUUUGUGUGUUUUACUUGCCAGUGCAGUUUUGAUUUAUUUCUUUUAGUCUUUUAUACCUAAUACAAAUCUCUUAUUACUGAGGUGACAACACAAUUGUACAUUGACCAUACUUUACAAUUUCCGACUCAACGUAUAAUUUAUUUUAAUAUUAACUUGACCUAGUGCAAUGCACAAGUAUUUUUUCUAGUAUAAGAGUUAAAUUCGUCAAAUAAAAAGCUAGAUAAAAUAGAUAUAAGUAUUAGUAAGUCCUGUCUAAUUUAUCAUAUAAACAGAGCAAGAAACGAGGAAAACAGGAUGACCUAACUAUGUUGACAUGUGGUUGACGAAAUGCGUCCGAACCGUUGAGCCAACUCCGCCCGAUCCGAGGGGGCCAAACCGCAAAAAAUCCAAAGAGAUGAGAAGUUUCGAAACAUACUCGUACUAAUUUCCAAUAUUCGCAAGGGCGGAAAUGCGAAACAGACCGAAUCGCAGUAUCGUUCUACGUACCAGCCAACAAGAAAAGUCCACUUCCUCAUACCUCCCCCUAACCCCCUCCCGCCGCGUUGCCCGAUUCGCCGCCGCUGAGCUCGCCGGAGAAGCGGAGGGGCGGCUCUCGCGGGCCGCCAUGGGGCCGCCGCCACAGCCGGCCAAGGGAGGCAGCAUCGACAUCCAGGCGUCCGCGCGGCCGAUCGCCGUCGACCACCGCAUCAAGCUCCCCUACUACUUCCGCAUCGCCGGCAACCUCCUCCGCCAGGUCAGGCCCCCACCUAGACGUCCCCGUAGGAUCCCUCCCGGGACGCCGGAUCUCUCCUCCUGCUGGUAGGAGCGGCUGCCUAGUUCGGUAGUGCAAUUGCGCGAUUGGGCGCGGUAGUUCUGUCUGGUUCGGCUGCCGGAUUCGAUGGAUUGGGGAUUGUUUCGUUGCGCGAUUAGGGUGGAUUGUUUCGGUUUCGAUGCCAAAUUGUGUUAAUUGGGUGGAUUGAUGUCGUUUGUGCAGGCUAAGAUAUACCGAGACGAGAAGAAUCUCGUCGACCUGUAUGUCAUCCUCCUGCGAUACUCGAGGUGUGGUUGGCCGCUGAUUUAUCUUGACGAUUUUCGUUCCUAGUGUCACAACUAACGUGUGUAUGCCUACAGCUUGAUUUGCGAGACGAUUCCGAAGCAUCGUGACUACCCUACAUUCAAGUUGAGAGAAGUGGAUUUCUUCAGACUUGCUCCGCAUAACCAAUCUGUACUUGCUCUCACUUUACUAUAGGUUUUAAGCUGUCUAUUAGAUCACAGUAGAUUGUUUUGAAUUUUGGAUAACAAUGCCUUUUCUCUAUACCCUGUGUUUAAGUAUCGGUGGCUUUUGUUGUAGAAACUCAUUGAAGUGCUCAGUGAACUUGAGUCACUGAAGCCAGUUGUGCAGCGGCAAGUUGCUGAGCAUAACAGAGCAAGAGGAGGUGCCAUCCAAUCUAAUAGCAGUAUAAAUAGAACCGUGGCUGUAAAUAAUAUAUCACAGCAGCACAUGGCAACCCCAUAUACCUAUCAGGUAUAUAUAUAUAUACCCCCUCUGGUUAUUCUUUCCCAUCACUAUCAAUCUGGCAGCUUCUCAAAUGCUUGUUCUGUUUUAUUUUCUUAUUCUGUUCUUAUUCAGCCAUUUGUAGGAAGUAACAAUGGAUCAUUACAAAGAUUUGUCCCUGGUGGGAAUCAUGAAGUGGCACCGAUAAUGAGUGCUCAACCUGAUAGGCGGACCCACAAACAGUAUGUGUAUACCUUGGUCAUAUUUAUGUGUAUAUUUUUGGUGUUUUAUUUGUCUUAAAGACAGACAAUUAUUAGCUUACCUAUUGAUACUGUUGGCUAUUAAUUAAGGGAGCUCAGGUGACAUGUUUAUUAGCUUACAAAAACAAGAGCAAAUUGUAUAAAAAUAUCAGAGAGACUGAGAGUAUAGAGUAGCAUAUCAGGGCACAGAACAGAGCACAGCGUACAUAGAGACCAGAGAGUAGCAGAUCAAAUCGAGCGUUGGUCAUGUUGGUGCUGCACUGCUGGUGUAGAUGUCAAAGCAAGUAGUCGGUGUCAUGGAGACAGUUUAGACAAUUGCCAGUGGGGAUUGGGAAGGACAGAGGGAUGACAGAGCAGAUGAACAUUAGGCACGGUCUGGUGUGGAGCAGUAGAGCAGAGCGGAUGAGGGUGCCAGUGGAUCUAACUGCGGCUGUGGCAACAGUGUCCUGAAUCAACCUCGGCCAUCCCAAACCCUAGCCACCCCUGCGUACGCUCUAGUUAGGAGAUUAGGUUGGGCCGUCUGCGGUGGGUAUUUGGUAAUCAUUGAUUCUGUGCAUGUCAUAGUUUUAAAAUGUAGAACACUAGAACUAUGGCAAGAGGAAAUAUUGAAGAAGGCCAGUUGGUUCGCGGAAUUGGUUCAAAGUGAUUCAGUUAUAUUUAUUGGAAGAUUUAUGGCAAGAGUGUUACUUUUAUUUCGUUAUUCCUAUUUGACUCUCUUAUGAAUCUGUUUUCUGGAAAAAUAGAUGGAUUCAUUAUUUAUCCCUGACAUAUUGGUAGCCAUUUGUGUUAGUAAACUAAAACUUACAUUUCUUGGCUGUUUUAAACAGAUUUGUAAAUCUACCUUUCCCUAAAGAGGAAACAUUAGCUAGACAUUCUAUAUUGGGACCUAAUGGGCUUCAUGGGCAAUGGACUGGGCCUGUUACUGCAAUCAAGGUAUGGUUAUUUUCAUCUCAUUUUCUAAAUGCCUUUGCUUGAAAAUUUAACCAUAGAGAAGACAGCAAUAGUCUUAUUGAUUUUGUUACUGCUUGUUGCAGGUUCAGUAUCCAAGCAAUCUUGAUCUAAUAAAAAGCGAUGUCUCUAGGUGAGAAUUUAGAUGCUUAAAGAUUAAUGCAUCUAGUGACUUUUCCCUACUUGUCUCUUUUCUCCCAAACCUUGGGUUGAACUUCUUUCAAAUUGGAGAAGUGUCUGUUAUAAAUUGUCGUCCUCAUUUACUGUUUCUUGGAAUGAUGCCUCAUAGUUUAAACAGAGUGAUACUUGUUUCCAGUAAUUUUGUCUGUUACACAAAAGCUUAAAGCAUUUUCUUGAAAUAAUUUUAGUGAUGAUGUGCUACAUACCAAUAGAACCACCUGAAAAAAAUGUCGAUUGGCUCAACUAGAUAUUUUUAAAGAAAGAAUGACAUCCUAAUUUUAAAGUAGAUGUGCUUAUUUGCAUCAUUGCAAUAGUAGGGAUUGCAUCUGGGUAUUAAUCAUAUUUAUAUAGAAACUAGUUCAUGCUCAUCUGCUUUUCUUAUCAUGUGACAUUGGCACCAACUUGCUUAUGCAGUUUAUUGCCAGUUGUCUUGAACCAAGAUGAUCAGAAUGGUCUCAGUACAAUAUCCACAGAUAGCACUCAAGUUGAGAAUGAUGAUAUGAAAUCUGUUUUGUCUCUUGAUGAUGGUCGAUGGUCCAAACCGGCAGAAGAACACACCUCUGUACCUUCUGCUAUUCUGGAAGAAGAGUUGUCCCAAUUGAGUAUCAGACAGCCUUCACCUCCUCCGGUCUUGGCAGAGUUAGAGCGCAAGCCAAUUGCUCCAUCGGAAGUUGCUGAUCCAACACCAGGACUUGCUACCUCAGAAACCAGGGGUUAUCAGAGCUUACAUGUUGUAAGUUGAAAUAUUGUUCUCUCCUUCGAAAGUUAAAACUAUAAUAUGUUCUGAACCUACAGCUCUAUGCUAAGCACUUGAGUAUUAAUCUUCUAUUUGCAUUUUAUCUAUUAAUCUAUUGCGGUUGACAUAAUUUUGCUGAUGAUUUCAAUGCUACUUUCUGUUAGCCGGUAAAGUUGAUGGAGUGUUUUCUAAGGGUUGCUGAGGCAAAUACUAAGAGAAGUUUAGAAACUUGUGGGGUUCUUGCUGGUACCCUGGUAUGUUCAUUCCCUGAAGAAAAUAAGACAUUGAUUCGAUUUGACUUCUUAACUAUUUUAAAUUGUUGUAUUUUUCUGUAGAAAAAAAGAACCUUUUACAUUACUGCGUUAAUAAUUCCAAAGCAGAAAUCUACAUCUGAUUCAGUAAGUUGUAAAUACUUUAUGUUACUAUCUUUGUCGACAUAUUUAUUCCAUGCUCGAUAGUUGGAGUUAUCAACAUUACUUGAUGAGUACAUUAACUCUGGCACUUCAAGAGAUUAUAAGAGUUACAUGGGUUUAUUUAUUUUACAGUGUGAAGCGACAAAUGAAGAUGAAUUAUUUGAUGUUCAGGACAAGGGCUCGCUUUUCACUCUUGGUUGGAUUCACGUAAGUUUGGUUUAAUGAAACUUUGUUGUUUACAUCUAUUGUGUUAUCUAAAAGUGGUACAUGUACUUAUUUUAGCACAUUUGAAAAAUAUUUGGGGAUCAUCAGUAAAGAUGAACUUAUUUGCAUUAGUAGACCAACUUGAUAACUUCUUUCACAGAAUUAUAGAAAGUUAGCUACUUCUCUGCCAUGUAAAAGAGUCUGACCUCUUCGUAAAUACUGGGAAUGAUUCAUGUAAUGUCAAAUUCUUCAGCUGUCAUGCCACUUGGUAGAAUACUCUAUCGCCCUUAUUCGAGAGCGGAAUUGUUGGUACAUGCCUAAUUGUCAUUCCUUGUUAUCUGGCUGGGGUUUUCAGCACCUACUAGCAGUGGCAGGACUUUGACUUCUUUUUUUUGGUGAAUGUAUAGUACAGGAAAAAAUGGCCUUGAAAUUUGACCAGUGUCGACAGCAUUACAUGUACUACAUUUGUUAUAAAUAUCAGAAAGUUCUGGCCAAAAUAUCAUUCAUCUUUCAUGCACAAAUAGGUCUGUGCUAUGCUUGUAUCAAAUUUAUGAGUGGUUUCAGGAGAUAAACCUCAGCCUCAUUGUUUGGCUUUUCUGUGAAAAAAGAAAAAUGUCAUAUUUGUAAAUGAAAAAUAAUUUGUGAAUAAAACUUUUAUAUAAGUGUUUUUAACGAUCUAAAAGCAAAUGUUGAAAAAUAAACUACGAUGAAAAAAUCCUAAAAUUAACACUUUAAAUUAAGGUUGAAAAUUCAAAUUUUGGCUUAUAAGCAUAAGCGGAAGCGAAAAGAAGAGACCCCUUUUUUGGGUAAUUUUGAUUAGAACAAUUGUGAGUAUAAUUUGUUGGGCCUGCUUUUUUGCAUUAAAAGAAUCUAUUUUUUCUGACAUCACUUGUCCUUUUUCCAGACACAUCCAACACAGUCCUGCUUCCUGUCCUCCAUUGAUCUCCAUAACCAUUAUUCUUAUCAGGUAAUGUUUGCUAGAUUCGAUCUACCAUACCAUUAUCAUUUGGUGCUGCAAUUUCUACUGUAGUAAUAAAUGUUUUCUUGCCUAUGCUUUAUAGUAUUAUUUAUCUUAUAACUGUUUUGUUAUUGAUUUUAAUGAGGAAAAUACCAAACAAAAGCAUGUUCUUGAGCUAAUGUCAAGAUAUUAUCCAGUAGUGGAAUUAUAAAUGUUUGCAAUGCAUGUAUCGCCUUUCUAGACCAGUAGCUGAAAAAGAUUUUGUUUAUGACAUGUGCAAUUUAUCCAGUGCUCAUGGCAUAAUUUUGUGAUAUCUUUUGUUUUUAUUCAGAAUAUUAUUGCAUACCCAAACAUGUUUUGACUCGAUAUGAUAUGAUGGUUUCAUUUCUAUAUAUUCUUGUGUUGGAUUAAUUACUAGAGUAGCUUGUGCCUUGCUAAUUUGCUUAAUAUAUAUUGGCUAGUAAAUUGCACGAUGUUGCUGUGUCAGAAUUUUCUGCCUGAAUCAUUUCAUUAAAAAAUCAUUAUUUUCUAUUUGUUCACAUGUUCGACAAUUGUUACUUUUACCAACAGGUGAUGUUACCUGAAGCAAUUGCAAUAGUUAUGGCACCUACUGACACAAGGAGGUAUGUGAUUUGCUCUGUAGACAUCUACUUAUGUGUUUGGUUGCCAAUUUUGCAGUCAAUUCUUUUACCGUCACUUUUUUUUUACAAAGAAAAUGAGUUCGGUCCUCUACAUCAAUUAAUUUAUGGACACCAGGAUUUGAACCCUUGUGGCUGGGGGGCAUGCACCCAUGUCACUCCCCCGCCACAUCAAUGUUGCCACCUGCACAAGGAUUUUACCAUCACUGUUCACUAAGAUUUGCAUCUCUUGAUGCUAAUUUUCAAGUGUAUAUAAUUUGCAUCAUUGCUCCUAAGUCCUAAGGUCAAAUUGUGCAAUCUGUUGCUUCUGUGACUUACAAUUCAGUUUCAUAGUUUACUGCUGAAUUAUUUGCAAACUUCCUCUGCCAGUAUAUUUUUUAAAGCUCAUUUCCUGCAAUUUCUUUUUACUCUAUAGGUUUGAUGAUUUUUUUUAAUCUUAAAUUCUAUUAAUAGCCUGCAAUGUUGAGUUGUUGACUGUCUGUUUGCUAGCUUGUGAAAGCCUGUUAUGUAAAUAUGGACUCUGUAUUACAAGGAUCAUGUGAUCUUGAAUAAUGUUUUGCUUGAACAGAAAACAUGGUAUAUUUCAUCUCACUGAUCCUGGUGGUAUGGGCGUGAUCCAUGAUUGUCCGGAGAGAGGAUUCCAUCCGCAUAAGGCGCCUCUAGAUGGCUCACCAAUAUAUGAGCAUUGCUCCCAUGUGUAUAUGAACUCCGAUGUAAAGUUUGAUGUGAUCGACCUUCGAUGAUGGUGAGAACUUUCAACUUCAUUCGCGGAAACUGGACUGGCAGCUGAACAAGUUGGCUGCCUUUAUUUUUUUUUAACUAUGCUGAAGAAUCUCGAAUAUCGAUGUAAGUGAUUGUACAUAGCUAUUGCAUGUAUAGAGUUUUAUUGAAUUGAAGAUCU